AUUGAACGCUGGCGGCAGGCCUAACACAUGCAAGUCGAGCGGAGCGGCGGACGGGUGAGUAAUGCCUAGGACUCUGCCUGGUAGUGGUGGAUAACGUCCGGAAACGGUCGCUAAUACCGCAUACUAUCAGAUGAGCCUAGGUCGGAGUAGCUAGUUGGUGGGGUAAAGGCCUACCAAGGCGACGAUCCGUAACUGGUCUGCGAGGAUGACCAGCCACACUGGAACUGAGACACGGUCCAGACUCCUACGGGAGGCAGCAGUGGGGAAUAUUGCACAAUGGGCGCAAGCCUGAUGCAGCCAUGACGCGUGUAUGAAGAAGGCCUUCGGGUUGUAAAGUACUUUCAGCGGGGAGGCGUUAACCGAAGAAGAAGCACCGGCUAACUCCGUGCCAGCAGCCGCGGUAAGAG
rnacentral:rRNA from 1 species